UACGAAGGGGGCUAGCGUUGUUCGGAAUUACUGGGCGUAAAGCGCACGUAGGCGGAUAUUUAAGUCAGGGGUGAAAUCCCAGAGCUCAACUCUGGAACUGCCUUUGAUACUGGGUAUCUUGAGUAUGGAAGAGGUGAGUGGAAUUCCGGAGUGUAGAGGUGAAAUUCGUAGAUAUUCGGAGGAACACCAGUGGCGAAGGCGGCUCACUGGUCCAUUACUGACGCUGAGGUGCGAAAGCGUGG
rnacentral:rRNA from 1 species